GAGCUGCGGUUUUAGCUUUCAUUGACACAAGUUUUAGCCAAUAGGACCCUCACCUAUUCAUGGACAGGAAGGGAGAAAACUGCAAGAAAUAAUUUGGUUGAGGGGCAGAGAUUCUUAAAUGAAAUGCUCCGCCAGCCAUGAGAUUGCUCAAAUGGACAAGACCAACCGAGAAGUCUCCCUUUCUGGGACUAUUUAACAGCUUUUGGAAGGAAAAAGAUGGCAAGGCAAGACAAGGUGGACAUCAGCUGGUCAUGGCUGGGUUUGGCACAGCUGAGACCUCCCCUUGAACCCUAAGCUUAAUGUCCCCACGACACCACAAGGGGGCGCACUUGGACAUUCAAAGUGAUUGCUGCCAGCUGGGCCUGCAGACAGAAUCCUCCAGAUGUGCUGCACUCUGAUUGGCUUGUUGAAGUUGUUUCCUCACUCACUGACGCUCAUAUUUCCAUACUUAUGCGGAAGAAAGCGCUAAGGAUUAUGGGUGGAGGUGAUCCUCUCAUGUCAGAGGUGGCAGUCCAUCUGUCUGCCAGCUUGUAAGGAAAGUGGCACACAAUAACUUGGUAUAUUUGAUCAACUGCUUUAUGCGUGGAUGAAAAUGCAUAAAUCUUUAGUCAUUGACAGUGAAACACCAUAUCUGAUGUUAUCAUGACAUAUUAGGAUACAGAAAAGUUCAGUACUACAAGUUCACUUGUGUAGGAAACAAAAUAUGCUGUAGCCUAAUGAAAUAAUCGUCAAAACACUUGAUAUUGCUCUAUAAGAACCAUUCCCUUUAAUAAGAGUUUAAGGGUAGCCCAAACAUACCAGGAAAUUGCCCCUACAUGCACGGAAGCAUUCAUUGUAUUUCUAAAUGCGUUCAUUAUGGUUCUUCACAUGUUUUCUUCAACUUUGUGUACUGUAUUGGAACAUUCAGUAUCUUUGCUUCUUUUAAAGCAUUUUAAGUUGGAUUAUCUAAUUCUGAACAAUGAUGUCUGUGCGUAUGUUUCUGUACAAUAAAUGAAAGCGCCUGA